rnacentral:sRNA from 1 species
ACACGGGAAAGGAGGUGGUCCGAGAGGUGAUUGAUCUACGGACGCGUGAGGUGGCUGCCCGCUAGCCGCCGUCGAAGUCGGACGGGCUCCUUCGAUCCCACGACCGCGAACGGUCCCCUCGGGGACGCCGUGGCCAGCGAGAUCCAGGCAGUCACCGUUGGCCCGCAGGAGCCGCGCCUCGUCCAGCGCGGCGGUCCCUCACCGAGGGGCAGCCUGCGGGCCUUCACCU